ensembl:snoRNA LOC120093446 small nucleolar RNA SNORA17
CCUGCCCAUAGGGGUGUUGUACGUAUGGCUGCUGUGGCUCGAGUAUGCGUCAGUAGAUGGCAGAGAGGAGAGAGGCUAUGACUACACCCAGUGUUCUGACCUGUGAACAUCUGAAUGAUUAGUAGCCAAACAUU